UGUGUCAGACUAAAAAGGGGCAUGAACAGGUGUCAAGGUAGGGGCACUUGCUCUCUCUCCUGGGAGCAGGAACAGGGCCUACACAAGGUCUAAGAUUUGUUCUAUGGACCCUUUUUACUGGACCACCCUCCACAGGCUCUACAGCAUGAGUGGUACCUUGUACCUCUACAACCCUAUGAACAGUAGGCCCCCACGCAUCUUGGAUCUUAUUUCUGCCCUGAGGCCGGUGGCGAAGAUACACCAACUGACCCACAUCCACUGGUGGACAGUAAACUUUGCGUUUGUCAAACUCAACUCUUUCCGCUGCUUUCUGCUCAGCAUAUUCUUUAGCUCUAGCAUGGGCUUCAUUAAGACGCUCCUGAUGCACUAUCAGCCAAUCAUGUUUCUUGUCUUGCACUUGCUCCUGCCCCAGCAGAGCAUCCACAGGGAGGUGUGGGUGCACCCCGAAAAGUAGGUAGGACGGUGUGUAACCAGUAGUAGCAUGAGGUGUCACAUUGUAGGCAUGGACUAGCUCUGCUAAGUGUUCAGGCCAACGCCGCUUCUUCUCAGGUGGAAGGGUACGCAAGAGAUCAUGGAGUGUCCUAUUGUAUCUCUCACAUUGUGCAUUUCCCUGGGGAUGAUGAGGUGUAGUUCGGGUUUUCUUUACACCAUAUAGUUUGCAUAACUCUGUAACUAUUUCGCUUUCAAAGUUUCGGCCCUGGUCUGAAUGUAGCCUCUCAGGCACACCAUACUUCAUAAAUCACUCCUGGAGGAGAAUCUUUGCAGUAGUGUUCGCUUUCUGAUCCCGAGUAGGGAACGCUUGUGUGAACUUUGUAAACACAUCUGUUCCAACCAAAACACUCUCUCUGCCAUCUGAAGCAGGCUCUAAAAUGGUAAAGUCUACUGCAACCACCUCCAGUGGUCGUGUGGCCAAAAAUGCCUUCAUCGGAGCAUGUAUCUUGGGCUGGGGCAUUUUGGUUAAGACGCACCUCUGACAUUUUUUAACCCAUUGUUCGACGUCAUCAUACAUGCCCACCCAGAAACACCUCUGUUUCAGAAGGUUUUGCGUUCUUUCAAUUCCCUGAUGCCCCAUCUGAUCAUGUACACUCUCUAAGACUGGUUCUCUCAAACAGGUGGGUAACAGAAGUUGGUGACAUACACCCACAUGAACAUCAUCAAACACACGAUAGAGGAAAUCAUCUAUCUCCUUGAUUCGGCCCCACUGCCUAAAUAAGGAGAUCACCGGCUUGGCUAACUUUGUCCUCUCCAUAAAGCCUCUGCAGAACCUUCUCCAGCCUCGCUAGGUGAUCUUCAAAAGACUUAACCUCUUCCUGUUCAGCGGAUACGCUGGAAGCGCACCUCUGUCUGGUCAUUUUCAACACACUCUGCCCGAGACACUGUGCCCAACCUGGUCCUGGGCUGCAACCAUACAUCCUCCUGUGAGAAAUUCACUACCUAGACUGGGAACACCCGCCUAGUAGCCUCUACCAAAGUGGGCACUACCACAAGACCACCUGGCAAUGGUGCCUUUGCUGGUUCCAACACCAUUAACUGACUCUUCUGAGACUGGAUCUUUGACAACUAGAAAACCACACUCUGGCUGUUCAUCGUCAGCUGAUGAGCCACACCUGAGCCUGGUGGGAGUGCCGGCUAUAAAGGCACGCCACCUGAACAUAGAGGCUGGUCGUGCCCUUGCUGGCUUGUGCGUAUAUGGCUUUCACUGCUGCCUAGUAGUUUUGGUAGUCUUUAAAUACAUGUCCAUCUUUUACAUUGACACUUGUCUGGUAUCUUCAUGUUUCAGCCUUUAAGCCAGGUUGUAGUGGGUUUAAAUAACACUGUAGUAUAUCUGUCUUCUGAAAUGUAAGUAGGCUAUUGAACAUCUGUAAGGUUGUCGGUACAUUAGUGGAAUUGCUAAUGAAAAUGAAUUUGUUUGUUGUUGUUGUGGGUUUAUGUUUAAUUAAUACAAUAAAAGAUUAAUCUUUAUUCAGCCAGGUGACAUUUGGUAGUUUCAGCUAAACACGGUCACAGAGUAAUUAUAAAUUUAUUAAAAACUACAGUUGAAAUUGAAUACAAAUGUGUCAAAAUGGCAGUACAUUAAGUAUGUUGGUUGUAUUUUCAAUGAUAAACUAUAAAAAAUAAAAUGUAUAUAAACUUG